rnacentral:rRNA from 1 species
GCGAACGGGUGAGUAAUGUAUCGGAACGUGCCCAGUUGUGGGGGAUAACUGCUCGAAAGAGCAGCUAAUACCGCAUACGACCUGAGGGUGAAAGCGGGGGAUCGCAAGACCUCGCGCAAUUGGAGCGGCCGAUAUCAGAUUAGGUAGUUGGUGGGGUAAAGGCCUACCAAGGCAACGAUCUGUAGUUGGUCUGAGAGGACGACCAGCCACACUGGGACUGAGACACGGCCCAGACUCCUACGGGAGGCAGCAGUGGGGAAUUUUGGACAAUGGGCGCAAGCCUGAUCCAGCCAUGCCGCGUGCGGGAAGAAGGCCUUCGGGUUGUAAACCGCUUUUGUCAGGGAAGAAAUCCUUUGGGUUAAUACCUCGGGGGGAUGACGGUACCUGAAGA